CGGCCAGAUUAUGUUAAAACUCGAGUUCUCGUACGAUCACGGAAGUUAAGCAACGUCAUGCUUGGUCAGUAUCUCGAUAGGUAGCCGCUUGGAAAUACAGGUGCUGCAA